rnacentral:rRNA from 1 species
UAAGGAAUAUUGGUCAAUGGACGCAAGUCUGAACCAGCCAUGCCGCGUGAAGGAUGAAGGUCCUCUGGAUUGUAAACUUCUUUUAUCUGGGACGAAAACGGGAUUUUUAUCUCAAUUGACGGUACCAGAGGAAUAAGCACCGGCUAACUCCGUGCCAGCAGCCGCGGUAAUACGGAGGGUGCAAGCGUUAUCCGGAUUUAUUGGGUUUAAAGGGUCCGUAGGCGGACUUAUAAGUCAGUGGUGAAAGCCUGUCGCUUAACGAUAGAACUGCCAUUGAUACUGUAAGUCUUGAGUAUAUUUGAGGUAGCUGGAAUAAGUAGUGUAGCGGUGAAAUGCAUAGAUAUUACUUAGAACACCAAUUGCGAAGGCAGGUUACCAAGAUAUAACUGACGCUGAGGGACGAAAGCGUGGGGAGCGAACA